AAAAGGCUGCCACCAGCGAAGUCGAGUUGUGUUGGUGAGGGCCCCCUCAGGCAGGAGGAUGUAGUCGUGCCUCACAGAAAUGUAUUUCUGGAAAUCCAUCUCGUGAAGCAAGGUCCAAGUGAUUCCUAUAAAAACCCAAACUUAUCAGCUCCCUAGCACCAGGACGGCAACUCACAAACCAGCAGCAAUUGUGUUUCACAGCUGAUGUUGGUACUGAACGAACAUAGGUCUUGAACUAGAAAUUAUGUGACCUGUGUCUUGUUGGGAACUUUGAGCAGAGCGAUGCCAAGUAUCAGCAUGGAAGGUGUCACCCUUGAGAGUUCCUGGUUUCUUCUGCUUCAUGUCCACAACUGUGUGCCACAAUUACCUUGCAUGUGAUAAAUCCAGGUCCCGUGUUACUAGCAUGCGCAAGCCGUCCUCAUUGAAGAAGAGGUUGUUCCCACUGGAAAGGAUGCCACACUUACGAGACGGCUUCCCACCGCUCAUCACUUUUACGUCUGUCUUUUGGACUGAUGCGUUCUUCAUGACCCUGGCACUCCAUGCAUAUGACUGAAUUUGCUGAACCAUUCCUGGUCCAAUCUGAUGAAUCCUUAUCUGCAUACCUGUCCCCCAGCAGUUGGAACAGCACUCUACUGCUCCUUUGUCACCUUGGCCUUCAUAUUUGUCACAAAUCAUAUCAUUGUGUAGAACCAGUUUUCUUGUUGCACCAUCAUAUAAGUCUUCUAAGGUCACUGAGAGCUGAUGUACAACAUUUUACCUCUCCUUUCUCUUUGCAUUCUUCUUCUUCCUCCAAAGGACAUAUCAAAGAUAUCCACUGCCGGAGAGCAGAAAGAGGAGUGUCGCACAGUGCAGCUCUGCCAGACGCUGCUCCUCCACCAACCACUGAGCCUUCUGGAAAGUUUUCUGCAUUAUAUUUUCAAAGAAGUAUGACGGGAUGUGUCAUGUAGUUUUAAAAUGUAAAGCCAUAAACAUUAAAAGUGCAUUUUGAGAUAAAAGGACUCUUUAUCAUAUGAACAUCUACAGUGUUUUUAGCCUUAACUGAUAUAAAGGUUCACAUGUCAGAGAGGGGCUUUUUCCAAUAUCUAUGGUUCAGCCAGGCAAGCUCUACAUCAAAGAAAAGUGCUGGUUAGUGAGGAAGCGAAUGAGAGGCCAGAAGAAAGGGAGCCUGGAACACAGUGUCUUUACUGUGUCCUUUCUAAUGUGAGGCAGCGUUAAUGGAGGAAUAACACGGUAUCUUUUGAAAAUGAAUUUUUUUUAAUCACAGAAAUUUAAAUAUAAUUUAAUAGUUGCUGUUAAAUACCUUUCAAAGCCGGUUUUCAAAUCUAUUCAGAUAUGAAUCUUAGAUUUAGUUUUUUAAAAUGAGGUAAAAAACCCACAAAACAUGUUUACUGUAUUAACAAUUUAAUACAGUAUUUAGUAUAUUUCUGAUGUAAAACCUUCUUUUGUCCCCUCGAGGAGAAGACGCCCAUAUCAAUAAAGCACUAGCUUCCCUUUCUUCUGCAUCCCUGGCAACCAACCAGGCUGCUUUUCACCCCUAAGGCUGGCUUAUUUGGGAUGUUUCGCACAAACAGAAUAGGCAAUGGAUUUUUUUCUUUGGGUCUGGUUUCUUUUAUUUACUGUAUUAUUUCCAAGGUUCAUAUACAUUGUAGCAUACAUCAAUAGUUCAAAUGUUUUAUGGCAGUGUAAUGUUUCACUGUAUGCUUGUAACUAAAUGCAGUUUUAAAAUGUAAUAUACAAUUAUAGAUAAUAAAAUUAUUAGUAGUAUUUUAUAAUUAUUAAAAGUCUUAAAGAAAAUGG
ensembl:antisense Gm10475 predicted gene 10475